AAAUUUUCUAAUUUUCCCUUUAGUUGAUUGUAUCAAUAUUAAAUAUAGUAAUAUAGUAACAGGAAACUCCAAUGGCAAACUACUGCAUGUGGCUAAAACCUGUAUGAAUAUAUCAAACUUUUUUGCUCCAUAUGAUACCAAAACUGGUAAUUUAUUUAUUUAUUCAUUAGCGUGCCCAUAUCAUACUACCAUAACUAUCAUGCAAGAUUCUGAAGAACCUCUAGUGUUAUUCCUUCCUAUUACAACUCACACUUCGUGGAACAAGCAUGUUGAUGACUAUCAUGAAAGACUAGUUGCCAUGACCAGCACCAGGGCUUGGAACCGAUUGAUCAUGUCUCUUACCGAUGGAUUUUAAUUGCUGAUCAACUAGGUUUUGGUUCAUAAUGAAGGCGUGACCUCUUUUGCUAGGUGUUGGAGUUGCAGCAGGCUUCCCAGGAAGGGGAUGUACGUAGACACCUUCAUGAAUGCUCAGUACCUUCCUGCAACGUGCGGAAGAAAAAGAAAACCCAAGAAUAAGAAGUAAAGCCAAAAGAGCUCUUGAGCUAGCCAUAUUAGCAAUAUAUGGUAGAUUCAAGUGUGUUCUCUGAUUGAAGGUGGCCUUGCAUUUGAGCUAUAUAUAUAUAUAAAUAAAGAGGUGAAGAAAGUCUAUAUAAGUAUUCUUG
rnacentral:lncRNA from 1 species